rnacentral:rRNA from 1 species
AACGAACGCUGGCGGCAGGCUUAACACAUGCAAGUCGAACGAACUCUUCGGAGUUAGUGGCAGACGGGUGAGUAACGCGUGGGAACCUACCUUUAGGUACGGAACAACAGUUGGAAACGACUGCUAAUACCGUAUGUGCCCUAUGGGGGAAGGAUUUAUCGCCUAAGGAUGGGCCCGCGUUGGAUAAGCUAGUUGGUGGGGUAAAGGCCUACCAAGGCGACGAUCCAUAGCUGGUCUGAGAGGAUGAUCAGCCACACUGGGACUGAGACACGGCCCAGACUCCUACGGGAGGCAGCAGUGGGGAAUAUUGGACAAUGGGCGCAAGCCUGAUCCAGCCAUGCCGCGUGAGUGAUGAAGGCCCUAGGGUUGUAAAGCUCUUUCAGCGAGGAGGAUAAUGACGUUACUCGCAGAAGAAGCCCCGGCUAACUUCGUG